rnacentral:tRNA from 1 species
GCGCGGGUGAUGGAAUUGGUAGACAUAGCAGACUUAAAAUCUGCCGGCUCAGGCCGUACGGGUUCGAUUCCCGUCCCGCGCACCA